CUGCUGUGCCGAGAAAACCAUCCCUUUAGGCGGACGCCUUGGCCGCAGGGUGACGUUUGCCGCCGCCGCCGCUAUGUUAACAGUUUUGAUGUUGGUGGUGACUGUUUUGAUGAUUGUUUGUUUGUUUGUUUGUUUUCAGGAAGGGUGAAAAAAAUGUUCUGGCUGGCUGGUGCCUGGGUUUUGUUUUGGUUUUGUUUUUCUUAUUUCUUUCUCUCCAAUGUGCUUGCUUUUUAAAAAUGCCACCGCCUCCGGCUCAGAAGAUUUCUUUUGUGAUCACUUGGACUGAGGAGGAGGAGGAAGGGCAGCAGCAGGAGGAGGAGUUGGUGGUGGUUUUGUUAGUUACAAAGAAGAGGGAGAAGGAGCAAGGGGGAAAAAAGGAAACAGAAAGAAAGGAAAGAAAGGCGGUGUGGAUGGCAGAGCAUGUGCGUUUUCACAUGACAUCUGUGCCUGUUAGCGGAUCCACAAUGUGAAUUUUCACUGUUCAGUUACAGGGAGGAAGGGAGCAGCGAGAGAGAAAGAGAGGGGAGAGAUGGAGAGAGAGCGCUGAGAGGGGCUUAUACGCGAGGGCGGGCUCGGCCGCGACUUCCAGGCCCCGCCUGCUGUCAGCGCCGCCGCCAAUCAGCGCCCGGCAGCGCCUGGAGAGGCUGGGACCGCGGGGAGGGGACACGGCGGUGGCGGGGGCGGGGGCUGGGGACCGGGGAGUCCUCGGUGGCCUGGGCUGCAUCGGGGAAUUCGAGACUGUCCGAACUGGGCGGAGGAGAAGGGCGGACCGGGAGAGGCGGGCAGAUCCGCAGGUGACAGGCACUUCCGACUCCAGCGGAGAAGGGGACACUGGUCGCGGCAGACCUUCGGAGGGAAAUUGAUUUUUAUUAGCAUUUGGAGAAUCCCCUGGCGUGGACUACAGGACUGAAGGAGAACAGCUCAAAUUGGCGGUAUGGCCACCUUACUAAUUCAAGGAAAAGGGCUUGAGGCUCGAAGGCUGGAGUGCAAUGGUGUGAUCACUGCUCACAGUAGCUUCAAACUCCCAGGAUUAGGGAAUAAAGAACUCCUGAAUCAACUGCUCCUGCCACAGGAGUUACACAACAACCAGCCUUGUGGAUCAAGAGGAACUGCCGCUGUCUUCUUUUUUCAUCUUACCACCUGGUCCAAUUCUACCUUGUUUUCCUGAAUUGUCACUGAGCUUUCAAUACAAGUGAGGAUGGUGUUUGUAAAUCGCAGAAAGACCAGUUUAUCUGUGGAGGAACCACAUAGAGAGUUAGUGUUAUUUUACACUACGUGAAGGCCAGAG
rnacentral:lncRNA from 13 species